GAUGAACGCUAGCUACAGGCUUAACACAUGCAAGUCGAGGGGAAACGCUGAGAGAGCUUGCUCUCUUAGGCGUCGACCGGCGCACGGGUGAGUAACGCGUAUCCAACCUACCCAUUACAGGGGGAUAACCUUGCGAAAGUAAGACUAAUACCCCAUGGCAUUUUAUGGCGGCAUCAUUAUAGGAUUAAAGAUUUAUUGGUAAUGGAUGGGGAUGCGUCUGAUUAGCUUGUUGGCGGGGUAACGGCCCACCAAGGCAACGAUCAGUAGGUGUUCUGAGAGGAAGGUCCCCCACAUUGGAACUGAGACACGGUCCAAACUCCUACGGGAGGCAGCAGUGAGGAAUAUUGGUCAAUGGGCGAGAGCUUGAACCAGCCAAGUAGCGUGCAGGAGGACGGCCCUAUGGGUGGUAAACUGCUUUUAUAGGGGAAUAAAGUGAGCUACGUGUAGUUUAUUGCAUGUACCCUAUGAAUAAGGACCGGCUAAGUCCGUG
rnacentral:rRNA from 1 species